rnacentral:rRNA from 1 species
CCCUUAGAUGUUCUGGGCCGCACACGCGCUACACUGAAGGAGGCAGCGUGUACUCCUGGAUCGAAAGAUUUGGGUAACCCGCGAAUCUCCUUCGUGCUAGGGAUUGAGGUUUGCAAUUAUCCUUCAUGAACGAGGAAUUCCCAGUAAGUGCAAGUCAUAAGCCUGCGCUGACUACGUCCCUGCCCUUUGUACACACCGCCCGUCGCUACUACCGAUUGAAUGAUUUAGUGAGGACUUCGGACUGGGACCGAUGCGGCUUUCGGGCUGCGUCGGUAUUCUGGAAAGAUGUCCAAACUGUAUCAUUUAGAGGAAGUAAAAGUCGUAACA